rnacentral:rRNA from 1 species
CCUACGGGAGGCAGCAGUCGAGAAUCAUUCACAAUGGGGGAAACCCUGAUGGUGCGACGCCGCGUGGGGGAAUGAAGGUCUUCGGAUUGUAAACCCCUGUCAUGUGGGAGCAAAUUAAAAAGAUAGUACCACAUGAGGAAGAGACGGCUAACUCUGUGCCAGCAGCCGCGGUAAUACAGAGGUCUCAAGCGUUGUUCGGAAUCACUGGGCGUAAAGCGUGCGUAGGCUGUUUCGUAAGUCGUGUGUGAAAUGCGCGGGCUCAACCCGCGGACGGCACAUGAUACUGCGAGACUAGAGUAAUGGAGGGGGAACCGGAAUUCUCGGUGUAGCAGUGAAAUGCGUAGAUAUCGAGAGGAACACUCGUGGCGAAGGCGGGUUCCUGGACAUUAACUGACGCUGAGGCACGAAGGCCAGGGGAGCGAAAGGGAUUAGAUACCCCAGUAGUC